GUCUUCUUCUGUGUCCCUUCUGGCUUGCUUUCUGAGGUGUCCUUAACAUUCAUUGAUUUUUCACCUAACACACUGACUGAUAUUUUUGGACCUAUUUAGGCAUGGCUCUCUAGAGCACAGCAGGGCUUGUAAUGCUGAACAGAGCAACAUCCAAAUAUCUUUACAAAGGAAAGAAAAAGAGGGGGCGUGAAGGGGGAGGGAAAGCAGCUGUCUGCGUGCUCCAGUUUCAUUGGUUCCCUCUCUACUCUCUGCCAGCACUUACAUAGGUUGCGUUUGGACAGAGAGAGAUGAGAGGUCAGCAGCUGCAAACAGCAGAGGCARUAAUGACACGGGGGCUUCACAAAACUGUAAGCAACUUUGAAGAAUUUGGUGAUGGCGUAGCAUUACUGAUCAGACAGAGCCUGGACCAGAGCCACAGUAGAAAUCGUGUACUUGGCAAGCAAGCCCCUUCGGCAUUGUUCCACAUGAUCCCAAGUGAACCAAGUAAGAGUUAUUUGACCUACUUGGAUUCUGUGGAAAACAUCUAUCAACAACUCCAUCUAUCAACUUGAGCAAUGAUUUCUUCUGUAAUAUCCUCUCUUUGCAAAUGCAUCAGCCUGGAGAACUCAGACAGCACAGGACUGGAUUAAGAAUCCUGCCUUUAGGAAAACCACUGAUAAAAAUUAAUGCAUUAAAAAUUAUGAUUGCCAUGGCCUCARCUUCUCCAAGCCUGAAACACAAAGCUUCCUUUCCAUGGUCUGCAUCUACCCAUUGCACCUGCUCCUCAUUCAUCUGAUGUUCUUCUUGGAUUUUCUCAUGUCAUUACUGUGUCACAGUUACUAUGAGAAAGCAGGUUCCUACCUGCCACUCUGCCUCCCUGCGCUUGUCUAGGCUUGUGGAGAAGAAUCUUCAGUGGGCUGAUGGCUUCGGUGAUGGAUCUGAGGGUAGCCCAACAGUAUAAUUUGGGUUUCCCAUCUUUCCACUGUUUCUCRGAGCAUCUUUGUGGCUGUGCUGGGAAUGGUCCAAACCUGGCCUCAGGGUCUGCUCUCGGGAUACUUAGGAAUGCCGGCCAUUGGCAGCCUACAGAAGUCACCCGGCUUUGCAUGAACCAGCUCCAUGCCCAAAAAGGUACAAAGAGGUGAAGAGCAUCACACUCAAAGCCUGUAGGAAGCCACUUUCAGAUUGGCAAAGAGGUGGCUGCUCUGUGCAUCUUCAAGGUCCUGUAAAUCUUUUGUUAUUGUUUUUAUCUAAGUGUAAAGGUUAUUAUAGAUGGACAAAAUAGCCAUACUUUCCAGAAUAUAGUUUCACUCAAUAAAGUGGUUAUAUUUUCAUAAUGUAAUAUUUGACUUUUUUUUUCUUUGAAUUUUUAUUAUGAAUGACAUUUUAUUAAUAAAACUGGUUUUAUACAAUGCAUAGUAGAUA